CCUACGGGGGGCAGCAGUGGGGAAUAUUGGGCAAUGGGCGGAAGCCUGACCCAGCGACGCCGCGUGAAGGAGGAAGGCUUUCGAGUUGUAAACUUCUUUGGGGAGGGACGAAGAUGACGGUACCUCCAGAACAAGCCACGGCUAACUACGUGCCAGCAGCCGCGGUAAUACGUAGGUGGCAAGCGUUGUCCGGAUUUACUGGGUGUAAAGGGCGCGUAGGCGGGAAUGCAAGUCAGAUGUGAAAUCCAUGGGCUCAACCCAUGAACUGCAUUUGAAACUGUGUUUCUUGAGUGAUGGAGAGGCAGGCGGAAUUCCUAGUGUAGCGGUGAAAUGCGUAGAUAUUAGGAGGAACACCAGUGGCGAAGGCGGCCUGCUGGACAUCAACUGACGCUGAUGCGCGAAAGCGCGGGGAGCAAACAGGAUUAGAUACCCGAGUAGUC
rnacentral:rRNA from 1 species